UCCCCCUGGCGAUGGACAAAGAGACUCCUUGGUGGUGGUGGUCUUAUACCAGUCAGGGGCAGAGCAGAUGGCAGUUCUUUGUUCAUCCUAGCUUGAUGCCUGGCUUGGUGGACAAAGCUGUUUUAUACCUAGGAUGCAUAA